CAGCCGCCGCGGGAAUACGUAGGUGGCAAGCGUUGUCCGGAAUUAUUGGGCGUAAAGCGCGCGCAGGUGGUUUAAUAAGUCUGAUGUGAAAGCCCACGGCUCAACCGUGGAGGGUCAUUGGAAACUGUUAAACUUGAGUGCAGGAGAGAAAAGUGGAAUUCCUAGUGUAGCGGUGAAAUGCGUAGAUCUCGAGAGGAACACCAAUGGCGAAGGCAGCUUCUUGGUCCAUUCCUGACGUUCAUACACGAAAGCGUGGGGAGCAAACAGGAUUAGAUACCCCAGUAGUCCCUGUCUCUUAUAC
rnacentral:rRNA from 1 species